rnacentral:rRNA from 1 species
GGCCGCACAUGCAAUCGAACGGUAACAGGAAAAAGCUUGCUCUUUGCUGACGAGUGGCGGACGGGUGAGUAAUGUCUGGGAAACUGCCUGAUGGAGGGGGAUAACUACUGGAAACGGUAGCUAAUACCGCAUAACGUCGCAAGACCAAAGAGGGGGACCUUCGGGCCUCUUGCCAUCGGAUGUGCCCAGAUGGGAUUAGCUAGUAGGUGGGGUAACGGCUCACCUAGGCGACGAUCCCUAGCUGGUCUGAGAGGAUGACCAGCCACACUGGAACUGAGACACGGUCCAGACUCCUACGGGAGGCAGCAGUGGGGAAUAUUGCACAAUGGGCGCAAGCCUGAUGCAGCCAUGCCGCGUGUAUGAAGAAGGCCUUCGGGUUGUAAAGUACUUUCAGCGGGGAGGAAGGGAGUAAAGUUAAUACCUUUGCUCAUUGACGUUACCCGCAGAAGAAGCACCGGCUAACUCCG